UGUUAAAAAUUUAAUCUACUUUUACUGUUAAAAACUGGCUCGGCUAAUGGAAUUACUAGACAUUACAUGUGGUGUGCUAUAUAUACCUCAUGCUGACGUACAUGAACCAUUUUUUAACAGCAAAAAUGAACGAAACUUUUAACA
rfam:Gossypium hirsutum cultivar TM-1 chromosome 12, whole genome shotgun sequence